rnacentral:misc_RNA from 1 species
CAAAAGGAUUAGCUGGACUUGUCUAAAGACCUGGUUCGACUUGGUGUGAUAAGUAUUUCGCUGAGGACAUCCCUCCCUCAUGGGGUGACCAGACCUUGCAGGACUUCUAUGUCUGCUCUCUAACACUGAUGGUGCUCUCUGGGCCCCAACCACUUUUAUGAUCUGGCCUCAAAUCAGGUAGGACUACCCGCUGAACUUAA